CCACACUUUUUUGGAAGCUGAACUUUUUUAGAGUGGAAAAUGGGUAUUUGAGACUGUUGGCACAUUUCCCUCCUCCACAAUGGCCACCGAAACCUUUCUGGUGAAUGAAGACCCCUCCAGAGGUCCUGGGAUGCCUGAAUGCUUUGUAGUAUCAGAUUCCUACAGGUAUUGCACUACUCACCUUCUAAACAAUCCAUUAGUGG